rnacentral:lncRNA from 1 species
GCUAGUGUAGUUUAGAUUGUGCUAUCUCAAAUACUCCAUCAUUAUGAAGCCUUGCCACCACUCCUUCAAUCUCUGCAAUUCUUUGUGAUAAUGUAGCGAGGGCAUUCAUAAUAGCAUCUAACUUAGACUCCGAACUUUCUGUCAUACUAAUGUCUUGACCUCCGGCCAUUCUAAAAGAAGGACAAAAAUGACCCUAUAAGAGGCAAUAUUGGUUUAUAGGAGGGUAAUCCACAACCUAUAAAAUGCCUUAAGAAUUUCAAGAAGAGGGAUAAUCCACUCUCUCCAAGAAGAAUAAGACUCUAAUAUUGUAACAGAAGAAGUAUCAGUUUAGAGGAGGGUAAUCCGCAACCUCAAAAAAAUGCUAGUAUACCUUCAAGUAGAGGAGUAAUCCACACUCUACUAAGAAAGAACUAGCUCUGAUAUCUCAAGUUAGUGUAGUCUCCACAAACUGUCACGGACACAAAAUACAGACUUGAAAUCUAACAAGAAGUUCAAGAAGAAGUGGCAGAACUAGAUUAAACAGAUGAGUACAAGAACAACACCAGAAAGGUGAGCUAGAACUCCAAG